GAGGUAAUGUAUAGGAAUCUACCUAGUAGUACGGAAUAAUGUUGGAAAACGGCAACUAAUACCAUAUACGCCCUGCGGGGGAAAAAUUUAUUGCUAUUAGAUGAGCCUAUAUUAGAUUAGCUAGUUGGUGGAGUAAUAGCCUACCAAGGCAAUGAUCUAUAGCUGACCUGAGAGGAUGAUCAGCCACACUGGAACUGAGAUACGGUCCAG
rnacentral:rRNA from 1 species